UUUAUGGAGAAGCCUGGUGCGCGUGGCAGGUAGAUGAUCAAGGUCCCAUGGAGGUCAUUGGCUGGAUACAGCACUGUGUCUGUGAGAAGUGGAGACCAGUGCCAUGGGAAAUGCUUGGUGCCAGGAACACUGCAGGGGAGCUGGAAGAGCUUGGUGUAGGG